rnacentral:rRNA from 1 species
AAUAGAUACCCUGGUAGUCCACGCCGUAAACGAUGAGUGCUAAGUGUUAGGGGGUUUCCGCCCCUUAGUGCUGCAGCUAACGCAUUAAGCACUCCGCCUGGGGAGUACGGUCGCAAGACUGAAACUCAAAGGAAUUGACGGGGGCCCGCACAAGCGGUGGAGCAUGUGGUUUAAUUCGAAGCAACGCGAAGAACCUUACCAGGUCUUGACAUCCCAUUGACCGCUAUGGAGACAUAGCUUUCCCUUCGGGGACAGUGGUGACAGGUGGUGCAUGGUUGUCGUCAGCUCGUGUCGUGAGAUGUUGGGUUAAGUCCCGCAACGAGCGCAACCCUUGUUCUUAGUUGCCAUCAUUUAGUUGGGCACUCUAAGGAGACUGCCGGUGACAAACCGGAGGAAGGUGGGGAUGGACGUCAAAUCAUCAUGCCCCUUAUGACCUGGGCUACACACGUGCUACAAUGGACGGUACAAACGGUUGCCAACCCGCGAGGGGGAGCUAAUCCGAUAAAACCGUUCUCAGUUCGGAUUGUAGGCUGCAACUCGCCUA